GGCCGCGGGAAUUCGAUUCCGGCCUAACACAUGCAAGUCGAGCGAUGAAGCUUCUUCGGAAGUGGAUUAGCGGCGGACGGGUGAGUAACACGUGGGUAACCUGCCUUAUAGAGGGGAAUAGCCUUUCGAAAGAGAGAUUAAUACCGCAUAAGAUUGUAGCUUCGCAUGGAGCAGCAAUUAAAGGAGCAAUCCGCUAUAAGAUGGACCCGCGGCGCAUUAGCUAGUUGGUGAGGUAACGGCUCACCAAGGCCACGAUGCGUAGCCGACCUGAGAGGGUGACCGGCCACAUUGGGACUGAGACACGGCCCAGACUCCUACGGGAGGCAGCAGUGGGGAAUAUUUCAGAAGGGGGGAAACCCUGAUGCAGCAA
rnacentral:rRNA from 1 species